UACGGAGGGGGCUGGCGUUGUUCGGAAUUACUGGGCGUAAAGCGCACGUAGGCGGCUUUGUAAGUUAGAGGUGAAAGCCCAGGGCUCAACCCUGGAAUUGCCUUUAAGACUGCAUCGCUAGAAUUGUGGAGAGGUAAGUGGAAUUCCGAGUGUAGAGGUGAAAUUCGUAGAUAUUCGGAAGAACACCAGUGGCGAAGGCGACUUACUGGACACAUAUUGACGCUGAGGUGCGAAAGCGUGGGGAGCAAACAGG
rnacentral:rRNA from 1 species